rnacentral:tRNA from 1 species
GGUGGCUCAGUGGUAGAGCUCUUACCUUGCAUGCAUGAGGCCCUGGGUUUGAUUCCCCAGCACCA